rnacentral:rRNA from 1 species
CCUACGGGAGGCAGCAGUGGGGAAUAUUGCACAAUGGGGGAAACCCUGAUGCAGCGACGCCGCGUGAGGGAAGAAGGAUUUCUGGAUGGUAAGCUCUAUCAGCAAGGGAGAAAAUUACGGGACCUGUUUAAGAACCCCCGGCUAACUACGGGCCAGCAGCCCCGGUAAUACGUAGGGGGCAGGGGUUAUCCGGAGUUACUGGGUGUAAAGGGGACGUAUACGGCAGCACAAGUCUGGAGUGAAAUGCCGGGGCUUAACCCCGGAACUGCUUUGGAAACUGUGCAGCUAGAGUGUAGGAGAGGUAAGUGGAAUUCCUAGUGUAGCGGUGAAAUGCGUAGAUAUUAGGAGGAACACCAGUGGCGAAGGCGGCUUACUGGACUGUAACUGACGUUGAGGCUCGAAAGCGUGGGGAGCAAACAGGAUUAGAUACCCCUGUAGUC